GAGGUGGAUUGCUUGGUGCUGAUGGAAAACCACUUUUUUGAAAACAAGAAACGGAGUAGGAAAAUGAAAUAUAUUUGGAAAAACAAUAAAUGAGUGGAUGGUAUGUGUA
rnacentral:ribozyme from 1 species